rnacentral:tRNA from 1 species
GAGGGAGUAACUCAGUGGUUAGAGUGUUGGCCUGUCACGCCAAAAGUCGCGGGUUCGAAUCCCGUUUUCCUCG